AGUACGUAUAAAACCAGAAGCAGGUGGCUUUACGUGUGGCGGCAGUGAUGCUACAGAGAAGACCGUGUACCGCGAGCUCAACCGCCGGGAGCCUUCUGCCUGGUCCUCCACUGCCACCACCCGGAGAAGUCGGACACCAGACAAAGCUGAGCUGAGAAGUGAGCAGAGGCAGAGGAUAAAGGAGGCUUAAUGUGCUGCAAACAACCUGCAGAUUCUUUCAGUUGCUGCCUCGCUGGUGUUGCUGGUUGAAGGACCAGGCAGAAUCAAUAUAAGAAUUUGUCUAACAACCAAAAAAAACAGAUUAGGCUUGAUAAACCAAUCCAUGGGCUUGGCCCGUUAUAUAAAUAUGCUUGUCUCUUUCCUCUUUGCUAGUUAUUGUAUCUAGUAUGCUAUGUGGUGCACUUGUGAAUUGCUUAUAUCUGACAACUCUUCCUGAUUAUCCCUCAUUUGUCUGACUAUUAUUUGACCCCCUUUGCCUCUGUCUUGUUGUCCUCUCCUGGUUUGCCGUGGUUUUGUUGUAUAUUCUGACUUCUCAGUAUUGACCCUUUGCUUGUUUGUUACUAUCUGUCUCCAGACACAAC